AUUGAACGCUGGCGGCAGGCCUAACACAUGCACGUCGACCGAUUGGCGGACGGGUGAGUCAUGUCUUGGAAACUGCCCGAUGGAGGGGGAUAACUUCUGGAAACGUUACCUAAUACCGCAUACCAUCGGAUGUGCCCAGAUGGGAUUAGCUAGUAGGUGGGAUAACGGCUCACGUAGGCGACGAUCCCUAGCUGGUCUGAGAGGAUGACCGUGAACACUGGAACGGAGAAACGGUCCAGACUCCUACGGGGGGCAGCAGUGGGGAAUGUUGCAGAAUGGGGGCAAGCCGGAUGCAGCCAUGCCGCGUGGAUGAAGAAGGCCUUCGGGUUGUAAAGUACUUUCAGCGGGGAGGCGUUACCCGCAGAAGAAGCACCGGCUAACUCCGUGCCAGCAGCCGCGGUAAUUC
rnacentral:rRNA from 1 species